CUUCAUAUGAAUAUCCCUUAGGCCUUAAUAUUCAUAUAUACAUUUAUUUUACAGGAAUUUACAGUUGCUAUAGCUGGUGUGUACAUAAAUCCAGUGUAUUAUACUAAAUAAAUUUCCAUAAAAUCAAGUGUGCGAAGUUUGGGCUCAAAUUUUUUAAUAAAUCAAAUGUGAUGAGCUCGGGCACAUAUAUCAGUAUAGAUCCAAUAAAAUCCACUCUAUGUAUAUCCAAAUUGCUUUUUGGUAAUUGGAGAAUAUGUGCAAAUUUAUGGUGCAUAAAUUUGUUUGCUUUGUAGCAGAGCAUAAGUCAUUUUUGUUUGAUUUGUUUGUAAUUCUUGUAGUUGCUCAUAUAUAUUUGAUCUUGUACAUUUCAUAAGCUUUUGGGGAUGCUGAUGCCUAUUUGUGUCUGCUGUUAUAAUCAUAGUUAGACUAGCAAUAGUAUCACGAGUGAACGCUAACAUCCCAGUGCUGUGCUUUGCUUGAUUUGACACUCUCACACCAGGUGUUAUAACAUUGCAGGUCUGCAUUUGCAAUAAUAGUCGAUUAUUCUUGUUUCUGUCCAUCGUGGUUGAAGCUCCCUGUAAUUCCUAGUUCUGUGUGAACUUUUGUAUUUAGAUGGAGUCAGAAGAAGGCUGAAGCUGAGCAACAGCACUAGAGGAGCAUUUGUGACUUGUUUUCGGUUCUGCUCUGAGUCGCCUGAUGAGAAGGAGCAUUGUGCUCAAUGUCUAAACAGUUCGAAUUUAACCUUUGAUUUUGUUACAGUUUUCUUGUGACAUGGGAAAUCCCGUUGGAGCUCGUCAUCUUUAAAGAAGAGAAAACGCCUGGCUGCUCUAUGUUAGUUUUUUUUUUUUUUUUUGGCUUGAAAUGCUGUUCAAAGACUAGGUUUAUCUUGUGAUGUCAAAAUAUGGAUCUCUAAUUUGCAAACUUUUUGGAUCCUUGAUUAGCUGAUUUUAUCUCAAUAUUCCAUAUUCAUCUUGUUGUGGAAA